rnacentral:rRNA from 1 species
GGGGAAUCUUGCACAAUGGGCGGAAGCCUGAUGCAGCGACGCCGCGUGAGGGAUGAAGGCCUUCGGGUUGUAAACCUCUUUCAGCCUUGACGAAGCGCCCUUUUGUGGGUGUGACGGUAGGGGCAGAAGAAGCGCCGGCCAACUACGUGCCAGCAGCCGCGGUAAGACGUAGGGCGCGAGCGUUGUCCGGAUUUAUUGGGCGUAAAGAGCUCGUAGGCGGCUUGUCGCGUCGUCCGUGAAAACCUGUGGCUUAACUACAGGCUUGCGGUCGAUACGGGCAGGCUAGAGUGCGGCAGGGGAGACUGGAAUUCCUGGUGUAGCGGUGAAAUGCGCAGAUAUCAGGAGGAACACCGGUGGCGAAGGCGGGUCUCUGGGCCGCUACUGACGCUGAGGAGCGAAAGCGUGGGGAGCGAAC